UUUAUUUCAUAUGUAACCUGGUUGUAAUUCUCUUUUGUUAUAAUUACACAAAAUGUCUUUUUUUGAUUAUUUGUCUUGUUCCUUAUCUUACUGAAAAAACCUCUGUCAUUGUUUUAACCGUGUUACUUUAAGAUUGAAGCCCUCCCUUUUAUUUCUUCUUCUGUGGUAUUGUCUUUAAAUUGUUUGCGCCCCUUAGCCCCUCCCCUUUUGUCAUGUUGUCCUGCGGGAGAGGACUUGGAGCGGGCAGCCUUUAACACGGUUGUUUUGUUUGUAUUCUUGACAGGUAUGUUGUACAAAAAUGUUUAUUUAGUUUUUUUGUAAGUUGUGAGAGGUGUUUCCCCGCCCCUUUUGUCAUGUUGUCCUGCGGGAGAGGACUUGGAGCGGGCAGCCUUUAACACGGUUGUUUUGUUUGUAUUCUUGACAGAAAUAAACCGAGAAUCAUCUUUUAAA